rnacentral:rRNA from 1 species
GCUUACGGCCAUACCAACCUGGCUAUGCUGAUCUCGUCUGAUCUCGGAAGCUAAGCUAAGCAGGUUUGGGCCUGGUUAGUACUUGGAUGGGAGACCGCCUGGGAAUACCAGGUGCUGUAAGCU